GGCGCUGGUGGUGUAGGGGUUAAGCACGCCCAUAUAUAGAGGCUACAAUCCUCGAAGCGGCUGUCCCGGGUUUGAGACCCGGAGACCUUUGCCG